AUGAACGCUGGCGGCGUGCCUAAUACAUGCAAGUCGAGCGAACAGACGAGGAGCUUGCUCCUCUGACGUUAGCGGCGGACGGGUGAGUAACACGUGGAUAACCUACCUAUAAGACUGGGAUAACUUCGGGAAACCGGAGCUAAUACCGGAUAAUAUAUUGAACCGCAUGGUUCAAUAGUGAAAGACGGUUUUGCUGUCACUUAUAGAUGGAUCCGCGCCGCAUUAGCUAGUUGGUAAGGUAACGGCUUACCAAGGCAACGAUGCGUAGCCGACCUGAGAGGGUGAUCGGCCACACUGGAACUGAGACACGGUCCAGACUCCUACAGGAGGCAGCAGUAGGGAAUCUUCCGCAAUGGGCGAAAGCUUGACGGAGCAACGCCGCGUGAGUGAUGAAGGUCUUCGGAUCGUAAAACUCUGUUAUUAGGGAAGAACAAAUGUGUAAGUAACUAUGCACGUCUUGACGGUACCUAAUCAGAAAGCCACGGCUAACUACGUG
rnacentral:rRNA from 1 species